CAGUCGCCGCGGGAAUACAGAGGGUGCGAGCGUUAAUCGGAUUUACUGGGCGUAAAGCGUGCGUAGGCGGCUUCUUAAGUCGGAUGUGAAAUCCCUGAGCUUAACUUAGGAAUUGCAUUCGAUACUGGGAAGCUAGAGUAUGGGAGAGGAUGGUAGAAUUCCAGGUGUAGCGGUGAAAUGCGUAGAGAUCUGGAGGAAUACCGAUGGCGAAGGCAGCCAUCUGUCCUAAUACUGACGCUGAGGUACGAAAGCAUGGGGAGCAAACAGGAUUAGAUACCCCCGUAGUCCCUGUCUCUUAUAC
rnacentral:rRNA from 1 species